rnacentral:rRNA from 1 species
UACGUAGGGUGCGAGCGUUACUCGGAAUUACUGGGCGUAAAGCGUGCGCAGGCGGUUCGUUGUGUCCGAUGUGAAAGCCCCGAGCUCAACUUGGGAAUGGCAUUGGAAACUGGCGGGCUGGAGUGUGGCAGAGGGGGGUGGAAUUCCACGUGUAGCAGUGAAAUGCGUAGAGAUGUGGAGGAACACCGAUGGCGAAGGCAGCCCCCUGGGCCAACACUGACGCUCAGGCACGAAAGCGUGGGGAGCAAACAGG